rnacentral:rRNA from 1 species
UACGUAGGGUGCGAGCGUUGUCCGGAAUUAUUGGGCGUAAAGAGCUUGUAGGCGGUUUGUCGCGUCUGCCGUGAAAGCCCAGGGCUUAACCCUGGGUCUGCGGUGGGUACGGGCAGACUAGAGUGUGGUAGGGGAGACUGGAAUUCCUGGUGUAGCGGUGAAAUGCGCAGAUAUCAGGAGGAACACCGAUGGCGAAGGCAGGUCUCUGGGCCACUACUGACGCUGAGAAGCGAAAAGCAUGGGGGAGCAAAACAGG